AAUAGAUACCCCGGUAGUCCACGCCGUAAACGGUGGGCACUAGAUGUGGGGCUCUUUCCAUGAGUUCCGCGUCGCAGCUAACGCAUUAAGUGCCCCGCCUGGGGAGUACGGCCGCAAGGCUAAAACUCAAAGGAAUUGACGGGGGCCCGCACAAGCGGCGGAGCAUGCGGAUUAAUUCGAUGCAACGCGAAGAACCUUACCAAGGCUUGACAUAUACGGUCUAUCCCUAGAGAUAGGGAGUGCUUCGGCGCCGUAUACAGGUGGUGCAUGGUUGUCGUCAGCUCGUGUCGUGAGAUGUUGGGUUAAGUCCCGCAACGAGCGCAACCCUCGUUCUAUGUUGCCAGCACGUAAUGGUGGGGACUCAUAGGAGACUGCCGGGGUCAACUCGGAGGAAGGUGGGGAUGACGUCAAAUCAUCAUGCCCCUUAUGUCUUGGGCUUCACGCAUGCUACAAUGGCCGGUACAAAGGGCUGCAAUACCGUAAGGUGAGCGAAUCCCCAAAAGCCGGUCUCAGUUCGGAUUGAGGUCUGCAACG
rnacentral:rRNA from 1 species